rnacentral:rRNA from 1 species
UACAGAGGCCCCAAGCGUUACUGAGAAUCACUGGGUUUAAAGGGUGCGUAGGUGGUCCGUUAAGUCCGUUGUGAAAUCCCUGGGCUCAACCCAGGAAAUGCUUCGGAUACUGGCAGACUUGAGGCUAGUAGGGGUCACUGGAACUGACGGUGGAGCGGUGAAAUGCGUAGAUAUCGUCAGGAACGCCAAUGGUGAAGACAGGUGACUGGGCUAGUUCUGACACUGAAGCACGAAAGCGUGGGGAGCAAACAGG